rnacentral:rRNA from 1 species
GACGAACGCUGGCGGCGUGCUUAACACAUGCAAGUCGAACGGAAAGGCCCUGCUUUCGUGGGGUUCUCGAGGGGCGAACGGGUGCGUAACACGUGAGUAACCUGCUCUUGACUUUGGGAUAACUUCAGGAAACUGGGGCUAAUACCGGAUAGGAGCUCCUGCUGCAUGGUGGGGGUUGGAACGUCUCGGCGGUUGGGGAUGGACUCGCGGCUUAUCAGCUUGUUGGUGGGGUAGUCGCUUACCCAGGCUUUGACGGGUCGCCGGCCUGAGAGGGGGACCGGCGACAAUGGGACCGAGAUACGGACCAGACUGCUACAGGAGGCAACAGGGGGGAAUAUGGUACAGUGGGCGGGAGUCUGAUGCAGAAACGCCGCGUGUGGGAUGACGGCCUUCGGGUUGUGAACCGCAUUCGCCUGUGACGAAGCUUGAGUGACGGUAAUGGGUAAAGAAGCACCGGCUAACUACGUG